UGGACCAUAUGUACAUACAUAUAUGUAGACGUAUGUAAUUAUGUUUUUUGUUUCGUUGUUCAAUUUCCAGUAGGAGAACGAUUCUCAUUGUUGUGAAGUUGAUAAGCACAACAGGGAGCACUACAAUUUUAUUUUGAUUUGUGUAGCUAGUUUAAUCAUAAAUUAAGUACUGUUUGAACACUGAAAUUUUACUCCCUAUUCAUAAGAUUUUUAUUUAAGAGAGAAUCAACCAUGGGCUUGUGGUAUAGAAUCAAAAACCAUAUUGACGGAUUCCGUGAAAGAUGCCGUGACAGAUUUGGCUCCUACCCAUGCCCGAUCUUUUGUCGCUGGGUGCUAUUUGCACUCCUUUGGGUUUUCGCCGUGAUUUUUUUUACCCUUCAAACCUUCGUGGGAUAUUUGAUAGCAGGGAUGUUCGUAUUCGUCGCCACUGUUGUAGGUAUAAACAGUUGCUUCACAGAGUACAAGUCUAUCGAAGGACAUAUGAUUCCUCGACUGCCGUUGUGGCUUGGACACGAUCGCCCUCCAACGCCAAGCCCAUCCAGAUCACCAUCGCCCAGGACCAGCCUCUUCGUCAUGACCAUCGGAGGGGACACAGAAAAUUCUGACAUGGACACCACCACCUCGGAAGAGGAGGAAACUCAAUUUAACUCGCAAAUCGGAAGUCCAAGCAACAGUAUCCCUCUAGUUUUACCAAAGACCACUGGACGGAAGUCCUAAAACCAAACAAAUACAUAUGUAACGAUAUUCAAAAUUAACGCCAAUGAUAUUCGCCAUACAAAAGUAAUAAUAACUUAAGUGCCAAUUAAUUGUCAUUUUGGUCUUAGGUUGUUGUGUUCUAAUUAAUUUUAAUCCUAAACGUUGUGAUUUAUGAAACCAAGAACAGUAAAGUACUAAGUACUACUCUUUGAAUUGUACCCGUGUGCAACUUUUAAAAGUAUUCGAUUUUCAAUACGCGUGUGUCUAUAUAUUUUAUCCUUUGAGUCCAAAGAAUUGCAUUACGUUUAAUACAGUGUAUGUACAUUAAAAAGUGUAAAUGUGUUGGUUAAUUACCCAUUAAAAGGAAUCCAUUUAUAUUAUUUUAUGCCCUAUA